GAAAGGGAAGGGGGAGGGGAAGACAAAAGAAGAAUAAAGACAGGGGAGGGGAAGGAGGAGGCGGUGGGGAGAAGAAAAGCGCAACAGAAAAAUGGAAGAAGAAACAGAAGGAGGAGGAGGAGGAAGAUGAGGACAAAGAAGAGGAGGGGACUGCUCCUUGGGUUGUCCCUACAAAGGAAAGGAAAGCAACAGAAGGCAAACCACCUGAUCCUCCCACUGGGUUUUGGUUGCUGCGCAUUGUCUCACUCUUUCUUCUAACCUCAGGUAAGUGAGAGUGGGCUGCACCUUACGCAGCAGAGUAAGUUUCAGAUUUUAGAAAUCCAACACUAUAUCUGUCAAAACUGGCAACUGCUAGUAUCAUUGUUUUGGAGGGAAAUAGACAAUAUGCACCAACAGCUCAGCCUUCUAUCGUGCAGCCCUUUGGGACAUGGACUUGUUCUCUUGGUCCAGUUCUGCCCCAUAUUACUCUCCUUGUCCUGCAACUCUAGCAGUCUGCCGGAUUCUCCCUAAAUGG
rnacentral:lncRNA from 1 species